rnacentral:rRNA from 1 species
AGAGUUUGAUCCUGGCUCAGAUUGAACGCUGGCGGCAUGCUUUACACAUGCAAGUCGAACGGGGUUAAGGGGCUUGCUCCUUAAUCUAGUGGCGAACGGGUGAGUAAUGCAUCGGAACGUACCCGGGAGUGGGGGAUAACGCACCGAAAGGUGUGCUAAUACCGCAUAUUCUGUGAGCAGGAAAGCAGGGGACCUUAGGGCCUUGUGCUUCCGGAGCGGCCGAUGUCGGAUAGCUAGUUGGUGAGGUAAAGGCUCACCAAGGCGACGAUCCGUAGCGGGUCUGAGAGGAUGAUCCCCCCCUG